rnacentral:rRNA from 1 species
AACUUGAGAGUUUGAUCCUGGCUCAGAACGAACGCUGGCGGCGCGCUUAACACAUGCAAGUCGAACGGAGUUAUGUUUUCGGACAUAACUUAGUGGCAAACGGGUGAGUAAUACAUGAGAAUUUACCUUUUGGAAGGGGAUAGUUUUUGGAAACGAAAAGUAAUACCCUAUAAUCUCUUUAGAUUGGUUUUUAAAGAGCAAAGAUUUAUCGCCAUUAGAGAAGCUCAUGCCCGAUUAGGUAGUUGGUAGGGUAAAAGCCUACCAAGCCUUUGAUCGGUAGUUGGUCUUAGAGGAUGAUCAGCCACACUGGGAUUGAGAUACGGCCCAGACUCCUACGGGAGGCAGCAGUGGGGAAUAUUGGACAAUGGGGGGAACCCUGAUCCAGCGAUGCCGCGUGAAUGAUGAAGGUUUUUAUAAAUUGUAAAAUUCUUUUACUCAUGAAGAUAAUGACGGUAAUGAGAGAAAAAGCUCCGGCAAACUUCGUGCCAGCAGCCGCGGUAAUACGAGGGGAGCGAGCGUUGUUCGGAUUGACUGGGCGUAAAGGGUGCGUAGGCUGUUUUUUAAGUGAGAUGUGAAAGCCCUGGGCUUAACUCAGGAAGUGCAUUUCAUACUGGAAAACUAGAGAUCAGAAGAGGAAAUGGGAAUUCCUGGUGUAGAGGUGAAAUUCGUUGAUACCAGGAGGAACACCAAAGGCGAAGGCAAAUUUCUGGGCUGAAUCUGACGUUGAGGCACGAAAGCGUGGGUAGCAAACAGGAUUAGAUACCCUGGUAGUCCACGCCCUAAACGAUGAGUGCUAGAUAUUGGGCAUAUAUGAUGUUCGGUGUCAUAGCUAACGCAUUAAGCACUCCGCCUGGGGAGUACGGUCGCAAGACUAAAACUCAAAGGAAUUGACGGGGGCCCGCACAAGCGGUGGAGCAUGUGGUUUAAUUCGAUGUUCCGCGAAAAACCUUACCAGCUUUUGACAUGCAAGUUUUGAAUGAAUGAAAGUUCGUUCUUCAGUUUGGCUGGACUUGUACAGGUGCUGCAUGGCUGUCGUCAGCUCGUGUCGUGAGAUGUUGGGUUAAGUCCCGCAACGAGCGCAACCCUUGUCGUUAUUUGCCAAUAGAUUUAUUUCUAGGAACUUUAACGAGACUGCCGAUGUUGAGUCGGAGGAAGGUGAGGAUGACGUCAAGUCCUCAUGGCCCUUAUAAGCUGGGCUACACAUGUGCUACAAUGGCAACUACAAUGAGAUGCGAUAGGGUGACCUGGAGCUAAUCUAUAAAAGUUGUCUCAGUUCGGAUAGAAGUCUGCAACUCGACUUCUUGAAGUCGGAAUCGCUAGUAAUCGCAGAUCAGAACGCUGCGGUGAAUACGUUCACGGGCCUUGUACACACCGCCCGUCAAGCCACGGGAAUUGGCUUUGCCUGAAAGUGAUUAGUUAACCCUUUGGGAGACGAUCAAAUACGGUAGAGUUGGUGACUGGGGUUAAGUCGUAACAAGGUAGCCGUAGGAGAACCUGCGGCUGGAUCACCUCCUUUCUA